AAUCCGGGGCACCCAGCCCCCGAGUUGUAAUUUCGAGAGGCAUCUUCUGGGGGGAGCGUCGGCCCAUGUUCCUUGGAACAGGACGUCACAGAGGGUGAGAAUCCCGUGCAUGGCCGGCUGCCCCCUCCGCCGUGAAGGGCCUUCGACGAGUCGAGUUGUUUGGGAAUGCAGCUCCAAGUGGGUGGUAAAUUUCAUCUAAAGCUAAAUACCGGCGGGAGACCGAUAGCGCACAAGUAGAGUGAUCGAAAGAUGAAAAGCACUUUGAAAAUAGAGUCAAAAAGUACGUGAAAUUGUUGAAAGGGAAGCGCUUGAGACCAGACUCAGGCCCAGGCAAACACCGAUCCCCUCGGGGCCGUGCAAUUGCCUGGGCCUGGGCCAGCAUCAGUUGGCGUGGCGGGACAAAGGCACGGGCAAUGUGGCUCCCCUCGGGGAGUGUUAUUAGGCCCGCGCUCAAUGCCGCCGACGUCGACUGAGGACCGCGCCUCGGCUAGGAUGCUGGCUUAAUGGCCUUCAGCGACCCGUCUUGAAACACGGACCAAGGAGUCUAACACCUAUGCGAGUGUUUGGGCGUCAAACCCUUGCGCGCAAUGAAAGUGAGCGGAGGUGGGAACCCCUCCACGGGCGCACCAUCGACCGAUCCUGAUGUCUUCGGAUGGAUUUGAGUAG
rnacentral:rRNA from 1 species